rnacentral:rRNA from 5 species
CGACGACCUCAGAGCAGGCGAGAC